rnacentral:tRNA from 1 species
GCCCGCGUAGCUCAGUUGGUAGAGCAACCGCCUUGUAAGCGGUAGGUCGGGGGUUCGACUCCCUCCGUGGGCA